rnacentral:tRNA from 1 species
ACUUAGGAUAGUUCAAACCAAGGGCCUUCAAAGCCCUAAACAGAGGCCAAACCUCUAGUUUCUGCACCACAAGACUUG